rnacentral:lncRNA from 1 species
AUGAAAAUGAUGUCUAUCGAAGAUCUAGUUGCAGCAGGCGACAAAGAUGACUCAAACCCAUCUGAUUCGGAUGGCAACAACAUGAUGGAAAUAGGUGAAGAUGAUAGCCAGAAUUGCCCAGCUGAUUUACCCUUGAAACGUAAUUUUGAAUUCUCCUUAUCAAGUAGGUUUCCAAAAAUCGAUUCCAUCACGCAAACUGAAUCCGCAGAAAGUAUCUGCUCCUCGAAGAAUGUUUUUUGCAAAGGUCUUUCUUUAGAAAAAGGGGAGGACGCUGUGCUCCAUGUGAAAAUUCAAGAAGAUUAUAAUGAAACUAAUGAAAAUUCGGCUUAUUAUUUAAAAGAAUCAAACUUGAAUUCGUUACAAUUACUACAAGUAGAUGGCUUGGUUGAUUGCUCCAGUUGCAGUGAUACGAGUUCAAAUAGUGAUGAGUCGGAAUCAUUUUGGCCUGAAGAAGAAAACCAUGUGAUCAGGAAAAAUUUCAUUGAGGAAGCAAGGCUACAAAAUGAAUCACCUACUUAUGAAAUUCCUCAGUUAGAUGGAAGCAUUGAAAUAUCAGAUGAAACCGAAGAAAAUCCAGUGAAAUGUAGCCGCUGUCGUCGCACUUACAGGACAGAUGUCAGUUACCAACGACAUUUGUCCAGUUGUAAUGCAGAAUAUAUGUCCUCAUCAGGGGAAAGUGAUAAUGAAGAUGAAACCAAAUGUAAUUCAAUUCACAAUCGAUCAACAGAAACGAGUAGUUCUGACAUUGGAGAUUCCCUUCAUGUCUCCGAAAUAAAUCUUGUCGAUGAUGUAACCGUAACAAUGCAGAAUUCGAGUAGUAUCGACAUGGUAUCAGACAACAAAAAUCUUGGUAACCAUUUUGAAUUUACCAGCUCAGGCAAUAGUGCUAUCUCCAUUGACCAAACUGAAAGUUUGCCAAUGAGGCCAAGUAUUGAUUCAAAGAAAGUGAAUCCUACGAAUACAUUUUGUGCUUCCAUUACUGUAAGCAAAGCUGCUUUUCUAUCUGGUGUUACGUCCUCUGGAGGUCCACAGUAUGUCAAUUCCAUUAAUGGUAAAGGACGACCGUUGAAGACCUCUUACAUGGUAGGAAAAUCAGAGCCUCUCCCUCCACCUGCACAGUUUGGUAAUCCUAUCAUGUAUCAACAAACUCCACACAUGAUGGACCAACCACAAUACGCCGGAGCAUCAGUCACAACUCCUACUUUCAUACUGCAGCAAGUGCCACAACAAAUGGCGUCAGCCAGCAUCAAUAUUUCAUCAUUCGUGCAACCUGUAAAUUCAACUCCGAAUGUCCAGUACAUCGCUGCUGUUGAGUCUUCCAAUCAGCCCCAAUUUAUCGCAACUCCAGACCCCAUGAAUCCUGGAUCGUUCCGAAUACAGCAAUCAUCCCUAAUCUCACCGAUCGUUCCACAAGUUGUAGGUGCAAUAAUUCAACCUCCAGUGGAGCAGAUUGUGACCAUGAACCCUCAAGCAUCAAAUAUAGACUUUUUCGCAGCACCAAACCCAAGUAACAACAUUUUUUUGAGCAGUCAACCAGUAAUGAAUGCUGUCGUGAACAAUUCUAUUUUGUGCAACUCUGUGAUGAGCAACUCAUUGCUGAACAACACUUUAGUCAACAAUCCGGUGAUGAGCAACGCUGUUCUGAACAAUUCUUUGAUUUCUAAUCCCCUCGUUAGCAAUGGUUAUCAUACGAUGACCUCUCAGUUGGUUCAAUCAUCAAAGCCAGCAAUUGAAGCAACCAGUUACGUUAUUGUUACCACUAAUCCAAGCGUAAAAGACUGUUUUUCUGCACCUGUAUCAGUUCAGUCUGCUCAGUCGACAACAUGGGCUCCUUCCAGCAAUUGGUCUUUCAACAAGCAUACGUGCAAACCACCAAAGAAGUCACAACUUUGUACCACUCAAAAGGCGAGUUAA